rnacentral:rRNA from 1 species
GAUGAACGCUAGCUACAGGCUUAACACAUGCAAGUCGAGGGGCAGCGGGAUUGAAGCUUGCUUCAAUUGCCGGCGACCGGCGCACGGGUGAGUAACGCGUAUCCAACCUUCCGUACACUCAGGGAUAGCCUUUCGAAAGAAAGAUUAAUACCUGAUGGUAUGAUGAGAUUGCAUGAUAUCAUCAUUAAAGAUUUAUCGGUGUACGAUGGGGAUGCGUUCCAUUAGGUAGUAGGCGGGGUAACGGCCCACCUAGCCAACGAUGGAUAGGGGUUCUGAGAGGAAGGUCCCCCACAUUGGAACUGAGACACGGUCCACACUCCUACGGGAGGCAGCAGUGAGGAAUAUUGGUCAAUGGACGAGAGUCUGAACCAGCCAAGUAGCGUGAAGGAUGAAGGUCCUACGGAUUGUAAACUUCUUUUAUAAGGGAAUAAACCCUCCCACGUGUGGGAGCUUGUAUGUACCUUAUGAAUAAGCAUCGGCUAACUCCGUG